CAAAGGCCUCUUUAGAAGCUGCUGUGAUAACUACAGACAAGAUUAAAAUGACUGUUGAAAUGUCAAACAAUAUACGGCAAGUUUAUGAAUUUUGACAGUUGUAUAUGUAAUUGAUACUAAGCUACACAAGGUCAUGUUUUUCUCUGACUGUUUAUGACGUCUUUACACUAAAUUCAUUGGAUGUUGGAUGUGUACGGAUUGAUAGUUUAGUCUUACCUGCAUGAUUUUUUUAUUAGUUGUUAGUGGCUUUGAACUAGCUGUCAGAUAACUGCGAGUACUCUCAGAUCUGUUCCUAUUGUCUUUUUGUUGUCGGGAUGUUCAAGAACCCGGCCACGUCCAAUUGUAUUUUUGUCCAUCUGAUGAGUUAAACCUUUUUCAACUGAUUUUUAUAGUUCGUUCUUAUGUUCUUAUGUUGUACUGUUAUAUAUACCACUGUCCCAGGUAAAAAAAGGGGGGGUGGAUUCCGCUAACAUGUUGAACCCCUCCACAUUAUUUAUGUAUGUGCCUGUCCCAAGUCAGGAACCUGUAAUUCAGUGGUUGUCGUUUGUUUAUGUGUUAAAUAUUGAAUCAUAUUUGUUUUUAGUUAUUUUAUUUAUUUUUUUAUAAAUAAGGCCUUUAGUUUUCUCGUUUAAAUUGUUUUGCAUUGUCAUAUCGGGGCCUUUUAUAGCUGACUAUGCGGUAUGGGCUUUGCUCAUUGUUGAAGGCUGUACGGUGACCUAUGGUUGUUAAUGUCUGUGUCAUGUUGGUCUCUUGUGGACAGUUAGUUGUCCCAUUGGCAGUCAUACCACAUCUUCCUUUUUAUAGUUGAAAAUUUCAUUCACCAGAAGAUCUCAACAUUGUUCCAGAAUAUCUCAACCGAUACCAGAAAAUCUCAACAUGACAUACUUUAUA
rnacentral:lncRNA from 1 species